rnacentral:rRNA from 1 species
CGGCNUGCUAAUACAUGCAAGUCGAGCGAACAGAUAAGGAGCUUGCUCCUUUGACGUUAGCGGCGGACGGGUGAGUAACACGUGGAUAACCUACCUAUAAGACUGGGAUAACUUCGGGAAACCGGAGCUAAUACCGGAUAACAUAUUGAACCGCAUGGUUCAAUAGUGAAAGGCGGCUUUGCUGUCACUUAUAGAUGGAUCCGCGCCGUAUUAGCUAGUUGGUAAGGUAACGGCUUACCAAGGCAACGAUACGUAGCCGACCUGAGAGGGUGAUCGGCCACACUGGAACUGAGACACGGUCCAGACUCCUACGGGAGGCAGCAGUAGGGAAUCUUCCGCAAUGGGCGAAAGCCUGACGGAGCAACGCCGCGUGAGUGAUGAAGGUCUUCGGAUCGUAAAACUCUGUUAUCAGGGAAGAACAAAUGUGUAAGUAACUGUGCACAUCUUGACGGUACCUGAUCAGAAAGCCACGGCUAACUACGUGCCAGCAGCCGCGGUAAUACGUAGGUGGCAAGCGUUAUCCGGAAUUAUUGGGCGUAAAGCGCGCGUAGGCGGUUUUUUAAGUCUGAUGUGAAAGCCCACGGCUCAACCGUGGAGGGUCAUUGGAAACUGGAAAACUUGAGUGCAGAAGAGGAAAGUGGAAUUCCAUGUGUAGCGGUGAAAUGCGCAGAGAUAUGGAGGAACACCAGUGGCGAAGGCGACUUUCUGGUCUGUAACUGACGCUGAUGUGCGAAAGCGUGGGGAUCAAACAGGAUUAGAUACCCUGGUAGUCCACGCCGUAAACGAUGAGUGCUAAGUGUUAGGGGGUUUCCGCCCCUUAGUGCUGCAGCUAACGCAUUAAGCACUCCGCCUGGGGAGUACGACCGCAAGGUUGAAACUCAAAGGAAUUGACGGGGACCCGCACAAGCGGUGGAGCAUGUGGUUUAAUUCGAAGCAACGCGAAGAACCUUACCAAAUCUUGACAUCCUUUGACCGCUCUAGAGAUAGAGUCUUCCCCUUCGGGGGACAAAGUGACAGGUGGUGCAUGGUUGUCGUCAGCUCGUGUCGUGAGAUGUUGGGUUAAGUCCCGCAACGAGCGCAACCCUUAAGCUUAGUUGCCAUCAUUAGUUGGGCACUCUAAGUUGACUGCCGUGACAAACCGGAGGAAGGGGGGGAUGACGUCAAUCAUCAGCCCCUUNGGAUUGGGCUACCACGGGCUAAAUGACAAUCAAAGGGCAGCAAACCGCNAGUCAGACAAUCCAUAAGNNGUNCCAUUCGAAUGAGCCGCACUCCCUACUGAACUGGA